UCCCACACAGAUCAACACAACCAUCAAACAUAUUAGAGGAAUAUAACAGUAACAGAAGUACAUUUAAACAGGCAAUACCUCUAGACUAGCAAAAUAAGAGAUAAAGGGUUGCCACUUGUGAAAAAAUUUGGCUGUGCAACCUCUCAACGUAUAUUUAAUUUUUUCAAGUUUU